AUCGGUGCAGGGUGCGUUGCACGCGUGCGUGCGGGUGCGAAAAAGAGGCGCUCAGCGGAGCGAGCGGGCCGCGUGGGUGAGCGAGAGAAAAGAAAAGGGGAGGCGAGCGGCCAGACCUAGCCCCCGCCGCCGCAACACCUGCCGCCGCCUCCUCUCCUACCGCCGCCGCCUCUUCGUCGGUGCUAUCGAAGCCUGGGCUACGUGAGCGCGCAAGCUGCUGGUGGUGCUUGAGGCAAGGCUGCUGGGGCACGGUGCCUCCACGGGGCCGGGGACAGGUACGCGCGCUCGCCGCGGCGGGAACGAGAGUUGUCCCCACUCCUUCUGUUCCUCAUCGCCGGCGUCCUCUCAGCCUUGGCCUCAUUGCUCACGGGAGAGAGAGAGAGAGAGAGGAGGAGAAGGAGGCGGCGGCGGCCGCCGCGGCCAGAAGGAAUAAGGGGGUUGGGGCGUUGGUCCUCCGCGACAACAUCCAGCCUUCUCCUCGUCGCAGUCGCGUGGUCCUCGACGACGACUCCCUUGCGCUCCUCCUCCUCCGCAUCGACAGGACUCUCUCUAGCCUCUCGCUCCACCUCCUCGCACACUCCUGCAGAUUAUCUUGGCAAUCAAGCCAAUAAAUCAAAAGGAGACAAAGGAAAAUGUGUGACCAAAGGAGUCAAGCAAAAGCACACCAAGCAAAUCACCACCAUUGAAGUUUCAGCAUCUGUUUUUCGUAGUUGGACUAAACCUGAUUAGAAGGAGAUGGUGCCCAGCGAUGGGGGUGCUUGGCCGCUGCCACCGCCUAGGAUGACCUCUUCGUCGGUGCUAUCGGGAGCCUAGAUUAUCUUGGCAAUCAAGCCAACAAAUCAAAAGGAGACAAAGGAAAAUGUGUGACCAAAGGAGUCAAGCAAAAGCACACCAAGCAAAUCACCACCAUUGAAGUUUCAGCAUCUGUUUUUCGUAGUUGGACUAAACCCGAUUAGAAGGAGAUGGUGCCCAGCGAUGGGGGUGCUUGGCCGCUGCCACCGCCUAGGAUGACCUCUUCGUCGGUGCUAUCGGGAGCCUAGAUUAUCUUGGCAAUCAAGCCAACAAAUCAAAAGGAGACAAAGGAAAAUGUGUGACCAAAGGAGUCAAGCAAAAGCACACCAAGCAAAUCACCACCAUUGAAGUUUCAGCAUCUGUUUUUCGUAGUUGGACUAAACCCGAUUAGAAGGAGAUGGUGCCCAGCGAUGGGGGUGCUUGGCCGCUGCCACCGCCUAGGAUGACCUCUUCGUCGGUGCUAUUGGGAGCCUAGGCUACGUGUCCGACGAGAACUCUGCGAGCAGGUGUAGAGGAGCAAGUUUUGGUUGGAAUUGAAAUUCCUGAAAGCAAGGCAACUGAAUGGAUUAAAGCUCGAAAGCUCAUACCUGGAUGGUUUUUGUCACACCAAAAUGAAGUAUAAGAAAACCUUAUAAAAGAAGAUACAUACCUGUCUGGGCGUCCUUGCUAUCGUCGUUUCCAACCCAUCCGCAGGGUCUGCCACUCUUGGGUGCCCUUUUGGGUAAUGGUCUAGCUGUUUCCUUGCAUCCAUGCUGCUGCAGGGUUGUAGUCGUACCCGUGUCCAUGGUUAUCACUCAUCAACUUGGUCGUGCUCAUGUGGACUAUUUAUUUCCAACAAUGCCAUCAAACCAUCAGAGGUUCCUCGCCGGUUUCCUUUUGCUGCACCUUUGUUUGGUUGCUCUAGGGUGAGAGGACCUCUCUGCGUCUGUAUGCUGAUUUGGUCAUGGAAUUCGAGCCUCAUUUACUGCACCUCUGGUUUGUGUAUUUUCAUGGAAUGCCACUCUCAAAUUAGUUUAGCUUUGUCCACACAUAUUAUGAUGUUUUGUGUCUAUUGCUGCCUUUGGCAUAUUUAAUCAUCUAUGUGUCUGCCAUGAAUUUAACAUGAAUAUAUUCCUGUUUUUUGUUACUUCUCUUGGCUUGGAUCACUAUGUUUGUUCUACCUUUGCCUUUCAAUACAUCAAGGUGAGCUUCACACAUCGUUCCCUCUGUUAUUAUAUUCAGGCAAUGAAGGAUCAGUACACGCCCAAUCUUCUGUGGCCUCCUCUCAUAAGAACUUCUACAUCGCUGUAUGAAAAUAGCUUUUCUUUGUCCAUGUGAUUAUUUGGGGAUUUUUGCCCAUAAAAAUAGCUUCUGAUGCCAAUACCGAGAUGUUAUUGAUGCAUGUGAGCCACUCUAAUUGACUGUAUUUUAGAAAUCGUGUACCCCACGAUUUUGGAAACCAUGUAAAUGAGUUAAUUGAGGACUGUAAGAUCCCUUAUCAGAUUAUAUCAUUUGUUGCUAACUCAUGUUCCUUCAAACGCUUGCAGGGUUGGAUUGGAUAUUCACAGAACUUUAUACCAUAUACUUUGGGCAUUGCUGAAACAACUGAAUGUCAAAGGUGCUUAUGGGUUGUCCUACAAUUUGUGUGGAUGUAUUUAGGUGUGGCGUUUAUGGUAGCUGCAGCAGCUUGUCAAUUAGUUCUUAGUCAAGGACAGGCACCAAUACAUGCUACCACUUAAUUCAGGUCAUGGUACCACUUAAUUCAGGCCAUUGUACCUGCAACGUCCGGUCUUCAUGGGAAUGCGUACCGUCGUCGAAUCCUAUUGACCCGCACUCGAUCCCGACCGUCGAUUGGGGUCGAUGAACCCGGUACACGGGACACGGCGUCGACCCGCGUUCCCGGCUACUAUGGUCUUAACGCGAGGAGGUGCCGAGAUACACGAGGGGUUGGAGCAGGACUGCAAGAGGAGUUGAGGACAUGUUUUGUUUUAGAUCCACCUGAUUAGUCCCAAGUUUUUGCAAGGUCUGCUUCUUAUGCAGAGGUUUCUUUUGAUGGGCAGCCUAGCCAAUUAAUUAUGUUUGGAUCACUCUGGGCAAUUCUCUCUGGAGUUGAGAGUACUCUGAGCACUGCCCAUAGCGUGCCACGACGACCGUUUGCACUAUAGGAGCCUCGCGACACAGUCCUCAUAUGAGAAGUGGGGAUUCCACCAGCAUUCUCACAAAUAGGUACUAUUCAUUUUGCUUCAGAGAGAUGUCGGUUGAUGCUGCGUUUAACUGGAUUUGGAAAGCUAAGUGCAAUAUGAAAUGGAAAGGUUUUCGCCUGGCUUCUCUUGGCUAACAGGCUGAAUAUGAGAAAUAUGCCACGCAGGAGGCACUACCGAGUUACUAAUGACUAUACAUGCCUGCUGUGUGAUAAUCCUCCCGAGGAAACCCUGGCAAUUCUCUAGGGUGACUUGGCCAAACUCUGAAUGCAGACUUGAGAUGUUGCACAUGGGAAAACAAACUUGGCACAAACCUCUGUUCAUGGAAACUUUCAUUGUUGCCGUAUGGGGGAUCUGGAUGGAGAGAAAUGACAAGUCCUUCAGAGGAAUGCCCAUGCAAGCAUUAUCCAACAAUAACAAGUCUUCUUAUUCAUGCAUGCACACCCUUAGAAGACCACAAUGGGCCUAAGAAAUCUUCUCUGCUCAAAUUAUGUAUGCUUAUCUAUAUGAGGCAUCUCUCCUAUGUUGCUUGCUUUUUAAAAGCAUUGUAAAUGGCUAUCAAAACUUCUUAUAACGCUGUGUAUCAGCAUCAUACCUAAGUAUAUAUUUCCUUAUAACUAAAUAUUCUGACGAGCUUGC
rnacentral:rRNA from 1 species